GGGGGGGGGGGGGGGGGGGGGGGGGGGGGGGGGGGGGAGGGGGGGGGGGGGGGGGGGGCAGGCGGGGGGGGGAGGGGUGGGAACAUACCCUGGUGUGCGGAAGAGCUCGGGGAAACGGGGAUUGAUACCGUAUACGCCCUACGGGGGAAAGAUUUAUCGGGGAAGGAUUGGCCCGCGUUGGAUUGGCUAGUUGGUGGGGUAAAGGCCUACCAAGGCGACGAGCCAUAGCGGGUCUGAGAGGAUGAUCAGCCACAUUGGGACUGAGACACGGCCCAAACUCCUACGGGAGGCAGCAGUGGGGAAUAUUGGACAAUGGGCGCAAGCCUGAUCCAGCCAUGCCGCGUGAGUGAUGAAGGCCUUAGGGUUGUAAAGCUCUUUCACCGAUGAAGAUAAUGACGGUAGUCGGAGAAGAAGCCCCGGCUAACUUCGUG
rnacentral:rRNA from 1 species